rnacentral:rRNA from 1 species
AUUGAACGCUGGCGGCAGGCCUAACACAUGCAAGUCGAGCGGAUGAAGGGAGCUUGCUCCUGGAUUCAGCGGCGGACGGGUGAGUAAUGCCUAGGAAUCUGCCUGGUAGUGGGGGAUAACGUCCGGAAACGGGCGCUAGUACCGCAUACGUCCUGAGGGAGAAAGUGGGGGAUCUUCGGACCUCACGCUAUCAGAUGAGCCUAGGUCGGACUAGCUAGUUGGUGGGGUAAAGGCCUACCAAGGCGACGAUCCGUAACUGGUCUGAGAGGAUGAUCAGUCACACUGGAACUGAGACACGGUCCAGACUCCUACGGGAGGCAGCAGUGGGGAAUAUUGGACAAUGGGCGAAAGCCUGAUCCAGCCAUGCCGCGUGUGUGAAGAAGGUCUUCGGAUUGUAAAGCACUUUAAGUUGGGAGGAAGGGCAGUAAGUUAAUACCUUGCUGUUUUGACGUUACCAACAGAAUAAGCACCGGCUAACUUCGUG